rnacentral:rRNA from 1 species
CCUACGGGUGGCAGCAGUGAGGAAUAUUGGUCAAUGGGCGUAAUCCUGAACCAGCCAAGCCGCGUGAGGGAAGACGGCCCUAUGGGUUGUAAACCUCUUUUGUCGGGGAACAAAACCCGGGACGAGUCCCGGACUGCGUGUAUCCGAAGAAAAAGCAUCGGCUAACUCCGUGCCAGCAGCCGCGGUAAUACGGAGGAUGCGAGCGUUAUCCGGAUUUAUUGAGUUUAAAGGGUGCGUAGGCGGUCUGUUAAGUCAGCGGUAAAAUUUCGGUGCUCAACCCCGUCGUGCCGUUGAAACUGGCAGGCUUAAGUUGGCGAGAAGCACGCGGAAUGCGCGGUGUAGCGGUGAAAUGCAUAGAUAUCGCGCAGAACCCCGAUUGCGAAGGCAGCGUACCGGGGCAAGACUGACGCUGAGGCACGAAAGCGUGGGGAUCGAACAGGAUUAGAUACCCUGGUAGUC